AAAACCUGAGAAUACCUUCUUCCCCCUCACCCUCUGCCAUCUCUCCGCGUGUCUGUUCUGAGCAUUCCCCUGUGGAUUAGAGCAGAAUGAGCUAUUUAACCAUAUCUGCAUUUAAAGUGCAUUUUCUCCUGGAACUUUCUCAAUUAAAUCCUUGCCUCAAUCUUAGAUGAUAUUGACUCACACGGAGGCAGGAGCACAAACUUCAGGAGCCAAAGACACCUCAGGGUAAAAGUGACACUUAGUGCCCUCCCUCCACAUCUCUUGUGCACACGCGGUUUGAAAUAUUUUUUCUUUUUAGCGACAAUACAAAAGCAGGUGCUUCCCGGACUGUCUGGUGGGCAGAGAGGAGCCGGCUUCUUUCCCCUCUGGGAGAAAGCACCGAGGGCCACCUGUCACUGUCACCUUUGCCUCUGGCUCUGAACACAAAGCUUCAGGAGUCCAAAGAGUCUUCCACCCUCCCUCCUCUUCAUCAUCUCCAGCAGCAGUCUGCAACUUGCCAGCCAUCCCAACCGUUCAGCAGCUGAGCAGGAGAGAGAGAGUCUGGGAGUCUGAUCCCCACCUGCAGGGCCUCUCCAAGCUUCCCCUCCACGGCCUCGUCUCCUUACCCACCCACCCUCUGCAUAGGACCCGGAUCAUUGUCCCAUGGUGCCUAAGAUGGACCUGACUUGGACAUCACUAGGCCUGAUUCUAGCUCGCCCCAGCUCUGCCCCACAAGCCCAGAAGCUACUAGGGCGUGUCAUCUGGCUCUGGACUGACCAUUCUCCCCCAUCCCUGAGAUGGACAUCUCUGUGACCUCCCCAACCUGGGGGAGGACAAAAGAAUGAGGCAGGUGUGCCUAGGCAAAAGGUUCUCCAGUCUGUCCCUCCCGAGGCAGGGAUGACAAACCAGUACUAUGGGUAAUUAGCCAAGGGAGAAGCCUGCAAGUAUCAGCUGCAGAGCAAAUGCCAUCAGGGGUCCACUGGCCACCUAAAGGGACAUCAGAUGGUACAGGAAGUUCUGAGAGGAAGCAGGUGCCCAGCAUUCUCAUACUGCUAAGGCUUGUCAAAGUAAUAGUUCAUACUGCCAGUGUGAAAUGAACAAUAGGCCAGACACCUAGCUUCCCUAAGCAUCUCACUGCAAGAGAUUCUUGCCUUAGACGGGCAUUGUCAGGGCCAAAGUGACCACACCAACUUGGUUUGAGGGGAUGAUAUGGCAAGCUAGCACAGCGGCUUCAGAGAGAAACAGGGAUGGGGACUGCUGGACCUUAGCAUCCUUAGACACCUUUAUCUCUCAGUAGCAGGACAGGGAGCCGCUGCUGAGAGGGCAGAUGGGUUGGGAGAGCUCGAGUCUCCAAGGUGUCUCAGACAGAAAAUCCAGGGCAGGUGGUGGUAACCUCCACAUCUUCCAGUGACCCCUACAAGAUUCAGCCGGGCUUGGGGGAUGCCUCAAAUCUCGUGCAUGGCCUUGUGCUUCACCCCGAGUUCUAGGUGGAGACUUACAUGACUCUGAGUAGACCAUAGACCUAGAAAGCUCUCUCUCUCUCUCUCUCUCUCUCUCUCUCUCUCUCUCCAUCAUCCAGAGUGCUCAGAGUAGUGAAUUAUAGUACAGCAACGCUAAUGAGGGGAAAUGAGGCUAGCACAGUUUCCCUGAAUCAGAAGGGGGGUGCAGUAAGAUGCUGAAGCCUGUAUGCUCUGGUCCCAGGGCAGAGGGAGCCAUCCAUCCUGUGCACUGGCUCCUGGGACGCCUCAACUGCACCAGCGCUGACUCAGGGUCCUUUUCUCCAGCUCUUCUACCCUAGCCUUGGCCAGCCAAGCCCUUGAAGCUAGAUUCUCUCAGGCUCCUUGCGCAGGGGCAGUUGGAGCCCAGACUGCUGCAGGCCCUCCUCCCCCCACCCCCGCCCUCCCCUCCUGGGCCAAGUCAGCAGUGCUGACGGCUGCGGGGCUGCAGCAGCGGCGGCGAUGCAGAGACCCUGCACCACUGCUCAGGGCGGGCGCAGUGCUCUGCCCGCACCCGCGUCCCGACGGCCACCUCCUGGUGGCUGCGCGUAGCCCGCGCCGGGUAGACCCGACCGGACGGCGGCGCUGAUUGGUGCAGCGAGUGAGUCCCUGGCUUUAUUUAGACCACCUUUUCUGGAAGACAAUACUUCACUGGAGUCGAGGGCUGGGGGCAGGAGGCAACCCUCCCCGGCGACUGGAGGAUGAUAAAUGAGCAGUUCUGCGCCUGGUGGCUGUUAACUCCAGUGGCGUUGCGCAUCCUCGGACCGACCAUUUCCACAGCUGCUCUGAGACUGCACACCCAAGUGUGGGGCAUGCUUUGAGGAAACUCCAGUGGAGAACAAGACAGACCCUCAGAAGGGUUAGGAGGGCUUGGGACCAGACCGGAGAACCUGUGUCCGGGCACCAGCUUUGGAUCUUCCGCUCUGAGACUGCAGCUUGGAAGACAAGGCUGCCUUCUUGUUUCGGGGUAAGGAUGGGGUUUCCAACUCAGGCAUCUGAUAGGUGAGAGGCAGGGACCUACUGGGAUCCUAUUCUUGAAUGUUCUCCUUUGGCAUUUCUGGGGCAGUCUGUGACAAGAACGGCUUGGAAGUGGUGGGGAGAGGUUCGUGCGCCCCGCAGCGUGUAGUCCAUUGGCAGAAGGUUGAAGUUGGAUGUGAUGUCCAGCUUCCUCUGCAGAGGGAAAGCAAUCCAGUGAAUGUGGGUGGGGUCCAUAGCUGCUGGUGGCCCUCUUGGGUGAAGAAAUGGGUUUUCGUGGCAGGAAGCAAGGCCUGGAAACAGAGAGGGAAGCCUCGGGGGUCCAGGAAGCAUCCUCUCCCCCGUUGUUGGUAGGGAAAGACUUUAUUCAGGCAAUAGCUUGAAAUUGUCACCCAGGAGCCCGUUCCUGGUCUCCCGGGCAAAGUGGGAAGUCACAGCAUGCUGCACACCCUCGAGCUGACUGUUGUAGGCUUGCUCACAGUUGUGAGACACUCCAGAGGCUGGGGCUGCUCACUGUUCCGGACCCUGAACUUCAUGCUGGAAAACAUAUUGUCCCCAUGCCCGCAUUUUCCUGCUUUGGGUUGAGGGUCUUCUCCUCACAGGUCGCCCUUGAGGCCUGCAUUGUGCUGGGAAGAGGGAGGAGGGAAGUUGGCGAGAAGAUACUGAGAUAGCCAGAGUAACGGGGCCAGCAGACCCUGGUGUUUCUGUGCUGAUGUAAUCAGUUUUAGGAACUGUUUAGGCCUGUGGCUGUCCCAGAACUGACACCGGGAACUCUCUUGUUCAGCCCAGGACAGGACAGCAUUGCGGCUGUGUCUCCCUGCCAAGGACGCAGGGUGAGGUGGCUCUCCAGAAGUGCUUCACCCUUCAGGCAGAACCAAGUGGUCACUCCAGGGACUCGGGUACAAGGGAGAGUUGACAGCUACCAGAGUUUGGCCUCCAUCUGGCAAUUGCAUGCUGAUUGAGGUUACCCUGUGAAGAGGCAGCGCCCAGACUCUGGAAGUCAGGCAAAGGCAGGGGUCACAGGGAAAGAUACUAAGUUGCUCAUGGGAUCCCGGGCCUGCAGCACUCCAUCGUGUCUGUGGUAAGCAGCAGCCCCACUGUCUGUCUUCUGCAGAUCUGACAAAGGAUCAAGCUUUGUCAUUCCUUUUACACACUUAAACUUUAACCCUGAAGCCCAAAGCACAGUGACUUCGCAGACACUCUAGACUAAGCCAGAACUGGAAAUUAUCCAUCCAACCCCUGAGCUGUGCUUGGAGCUGAAGAAAGUGAGAUCCGGAGGAGAGCUGACUUUCCCAAGGACAUGGAAGGCUCAGGGCUGACCUGGGAUCCCCUAGGACAGGUUUCAGCCUGCCAUAUGGAGUAAUGAUGAGAUCAUCAGCGCUGGACCCACCAGGUGCCCCGAUGGUGCUAUAGGACAAGGUAAAGAAACUGGGGAUCUGGAGGGGACACAGGGACCAUGAGCAAAGCCAGGUGAAUACGAGACAAUUCUGCUUCACUCCCUUUGAGCGCCUCUGCAGCACCCCUGGUUUACAACUGUCACUGGGCAACUUGCCAAGGGGAGAAGCCAUUCUGCUGCUUUUAUAGUUCCUCCUCUGCAAUUCUGGAAAAUCAGGGCCACUUGGGUCUGGCGGCUCGCUGUCUGGUUAUUGGCGCUGUAAUUCAGACAUUGUCCAGCAGGUGGCUCCCAAGGACACGGUAAGGAAAUGGAGCCGGCGCUCAGUCUGGCAAGCCUGUUUCCAAGAAAGGGCUUUUCAGUUUUCCAUGGUCCGGUGAAUUGAGGCAAGCAAUAGUUUUUCAAUUUUUUUCUUUCAACUAAUAAGUUUGCUUAGGAAUGUCUGGGGCGGUUUGGUACCGGUGUCACCUCCUGAAUCCACCCUCAUCUUAUUUUUGCAGUGCAGUGUGGUGUAUUUGUGGGAAUUUCACCGCGGUUCUCAUUUCUUAGAGCCGAUAUGACAUGUCAUUUAUGCACCAGCGAUUACCAGAAAUAUUCCCAAGGAAGGUCUAUCAUUCUAUAGGGUGGCCAAAGUAGGUCCUGAACUCGGCCUCUGCUGAUUUUCUUCCCCCCUCACAAACCCCUUUUUUCAAGGGGCUCUGUCCAACCCAUGCUUGCUGAAUAUCACCAAAAGACAAGCACAGACGUGGACAGCAACCAGCCACAGCUUUGGUGUCAUUCUUAUCCUGUCAACCUCUCCCUCAAGAAUUGAAAGAUAUUUCCAUCUGUGGCAGUAUCUGUUAGGCAUCUCAGUUCACUUUUGUAUCCAGAGAGGUCCCUGUUUCUUCUCAAAUGGUUUCUUGUCAUCAACGCGCCUUGAUGACCUUCAGCUGUACAGAGGUGAACUACUGCACUCCUCUAGAAAUCGGCCCAUUUGCUUAAAUCAGAUUGUCUUGCUUCUCUGUGAUAAAACACUCUUUAGAGACUCUAAUGUCUGUGUUGGAUGGUCCUGUCUUGGUCACUUCCGCUUUAGGUCAAAGUGGAAGUCUGUAUUCUACCAGCCUGAGUGUACUGCAGAUCGGUAGAGCUGCCAGACCCCUGCUGAGAUCUAGGUGACCUUGACAGGGUUACCGAGAAGCAACCAAGAAACUUAGCCAGAGCCACCUUCAAUGGGACCAAUAAGCAAACAAAAGUUUUUUUUUUCUUUUUAUUUUGACUUGCUUUAAACCUUAUUUUCAUUCAUUCUUUGAGUGUCUUGGGGAUACACAAGCACAGAAAUCAGAAGAUAAAAGGCAGGAGUCAGUUCUGGUCUUCUAUCCAGUGGGUUCUGGGGAUUAAACUCAAGUAGUCAGGUUUGGUGGCAAGCACUUAGGCCAGCUCCCUGGCCCUGUUUGACUCACUAACGAUGCAAAAUCAUUACAUCUUCCACAGAGAAGAACACCCCCCCCCCAUAUCACACCCCUGACCCCUCCCUUUGAGGCAGGGUUUCAUACUAUAACACCGGCUGCCUGGCUUUGAACUCAAAGCAAUCCUCCUGAUUUAGAAAGAGUGCCUCCUGAGUGCUGGAACUACAGGUAUGAGCCACAAACACUCAACUGAACCCUCUUAACAACCCAGUUUAACACAAAGAAUUUACUGGGAGCUGAGGUUCCAUUUCUGUAUUAGAACACUUGCCCAGCAUGUCCAAGGCCUUGGGUUCAAUCCCUAGGACUAAAUAAAGAAGAGACUAAAGAAAGAAUAAUUGAUGGACUGUCCACCAUUGAGAGAUCAUGAGAGGAGGUUUGGAAAGCAAGGUCUCCAUGCCUUUAGAAGUCAACAGGAAGGGUGUUGGUGGCUCGGUGGGCAAAGAUGCUUGUCUGGUGACCUGAGUCUAAUCUCCAAGAUCCACAUAGUGGAAGAGAAUGGACUCCCACAAACUGUCCCCUCACCCCCCACACAGCACAACAGCGCCCCCACACUCACACCAAAUAAAUUCAUCAGUAAAUACAUGUCAGAAAAUGUUUAAGUCAAUGUAGGGAGGAAGGCUGGAGAUGUAGCUCAGUGGAUACAAUGUUUCUCUGGUAUGCACAAGUUCUCAGGUCAACCCGGGUGUACAGAAGUUGGUGAGCCCUUCCUGUAGUCCUAGCAUUUGAGAGAUGGAUGCAAGAGGAUAAUGGAAGGUCUUUUAUGACCUCCACAUCCUAGGCUGAGCAGCAAGGAUUACAGGCCUGAACCAUCAUGCCUGGUGGGAGUCUGAGACUGACCUGGUCUUCCAGAGAAGCUCAAGGCAAUCAUGAGCUGCAUAGUGAGACUCUUGCAAAAGAGUAAAACAAACAGAUCAAAAGCCAGCUCAGUGGACUACUGCUUGCCUAGCUCACUCAAGGCUCGGGGGUUGAUCCCCCACUCAAGGAAGGCAGGGACGAAUCCAUAGCAUUGCACUUCUCAUGGGAGAAGAACAAAAAAUCAGGGCACAGGAGUCUCUGGAUGACAGAGCUUCCAGGUAGCUCCUGACUCUUCCUUCUUGGUCUGAGUCCUGGGUAGGAAGAAUUGCUGGCUGACAGGAAUCUCAGGGUCAGCCGCUCCUUUGCACAGUUCCUGUGUCCAUCUCUGUGGUUUGUGUUCUUGGGCAUCUUGCUGCGGGGCUGUCUGCUGCAGGUGGAGUGGUUCUCCCAGGCUUGGGGUGUUUUUAUAGCAUUCCGAGUGAAUAGCACAAUUACACCACACUUGGGCAGUGUGUGAGAAAAGCAUUCCAUUUCAAUGUUUAAAUCAUCCUUGUUUUUUUUUUUCCCUAGUGCUGUUUUGACACUAGUUUGUAGCUGGCAUCUUAAGUCCCCUAAGAUGUGACAGCGGCCUCAAUGCACUCCCCCCUCCUGUUUGUGAUCCAGAGGUCAGCUUGUCCUGCAGUCCAAAUCUUGUAAACAGACCAUUUAAAGUCUCUGAGAGUCUAGGCUAGUCAUGCCCCUACCCCCCACCCCCGCCGCCAUGAUAGGAUUUUUUUGUUUGUUUGUUUGCUUGUUUGUUUGACUAAGACAGGGUCACAGUAUGCAGCCCUGCCUGGCCUGGAACUCAUUAUGUAGACCAGGCUGGUCUUGAACUCACAGAGAUCUGCCUGCCUUUGCCUCUGAAGUAUGUAAUACCAUACCAGGAAAUUUUUGGUUAUUUCACAUUAACAGGAGGCAUGACUAGCUUCUUCUGAACACACAAACUUGGCUUUUCUUCCCAACAGGAGUCAGAUGGGCUAGCUCAUGAUAAAAUUAAAUAACGGAGCUGGGUGCAGUGGGCCUUUGCCUGUGAGUCCAGCUACUCCGGAGGCUGAAGCAGGAGGACCAAAAGUUCAAGGUCACCGGGGCAAUUUAGUGAGCUUCUAUCUCAGAUUAAUACAAAAUAACUUUAAAAGGGCCUGGGAUAUAACUCAGUCCAGAGAGUAUUUGACUCCCAUGUGAAAGACCCGGGCUUAAUCUGCAGGAAAAAUAAAAAUUGUAAAAAGCACGGAGCUUGUCUGUGAUGGACGUUCCUGCUGUCCUUGACCAACCAGCCACCCAGGGCCAGCCAACUGGCUUACAAGGAACCCAGCUGAUCCUUUCUGAGAGCCUCUGCUCAGCCCGGUGUCCCUAGAACCACACCUGUGUCACCUCUGAACCAACUCGGGUCUUCUGUAAAGUUAACACUUCUGUUGGAGACGACAGUUCAUAUUCAUCCGUCAUUGCUAAGGUGCAGUGUCCUUUGGGGACCCAGGACUGCAAGCCCUUAACAGAAAGGAGGGGAGGGCAUUCCUCCUGGGAAGCGAAGUGGAGACGUAUGUCCCUAGGAGCCCUGACAGUCACCACAAUGUGCACCUGGCCUUAGAACUGCUUUAACUGACCAUCCUAACUGGAUUGCCUCUUUGCUUCUUUAGGUUCCAGUGACUCUAAGUGGCUUCUGUCCCAACACGUCCCUUUACAGCGAGAGACUCAGCUUCCGCCGGAAGCCGGGUAAGUGUUCCUGUCUCUUCUGGCCAGAGAUCCGAUGCUUUCAAAGUGCAGUUUUCUGACAGCAUAGUACGUGUUCUUUCUACCUGUAGAAGAGGAGGUGGGGGCAAGCCUACAGCUCCCUGCACCCUGGGAACUCUGCAGCCACUGACUCACAACGGACAGGGUAGUAGAGGCAGGACAGAGGGACCUUAGUGGUUGUGAGAGUUUUCCCUUCGGGUCUCCUGUUGGCAGUAUCUCCAUCUUGGGAUCUUGUACUAUUACCCGGGCUCGUUCUUUGGGCCUCUACUGUCCUUUAGAGUAGAUUCCCCUUGGGUGGACAGUCUUCAGCUGAGCUCGGAUUAGUAGGUAACCGAUUUCUAUCCUUAGCGCCCCUACAUCUCCCUCCCACCCCGACUCCAGGGUGUUUUCUUUUUUUUUUAUUUCUUUAUUAUAUGUAAGUACACUGUAGCUAUCUUCAGACACUCCAGAAGAGGGAGUCAGAUCUUGUUACAGAUGGUUGUGAGCCACCAUGUGGUUGCUGGGAUUUGAACUUCAGACCUUCGGAAGAGCAGUCGGGUGCUCUUACCCACUGAGCCAUCUCACCAGCCCCCUCCAGGGUGUUUUCAAAGCCAGGAUGUGCACAACAAUCUCAGGUCCCCCUGGCGUGGACCCGCUUCCAUUCCCUGCGUGAUGGAUGGACCCCCGUGGGUACAUACAUGAGAAAUCAGGUGUCUGCACUGGUGUUUAAAUUAGAAGAGAACUAUUUCCCUUCUGUGUCCCUUUGGUGCAUUUAAAUGAGCACUUGGAGGGGGAGGGGGUGGGAUACAGCUUGAUUGACAAGGUUCCACCCCCAGCACUGAGUAAACCUGCACAGUGGCCCUCAGGAAGUCGGGAGGAUCAGAAGUUUAAGGUCAACCUCAGUUACACGGUGAGCCCAUGGGCAGCCUGGACCACGUGAGAUCAUGUCUCAAAAAGAAAAGGAAGGCUAAGCGUGGUGGGUGGCAUAGGCCUUUAGUCCCGGCUCUUGGGAGGCAGAGGCAGGAGGAUCUCAUUGAGUUCAGACCCAGCCUGUUCUACAUUUCCAGGUGCAGGACAGUCAGAACGAAAGAGAGAAGCCCUGUCUCAAACAAAACAAAACAAUGUAACAAAAUGUAACAAAGUGGAAAGGAAAGGGAAACCUGAGACCAGCAAGACGAUUCAGGGACAAAACUGACUUCUGCAAGUCCUCUGAUGUCCACACGUGGGCUUUAUAAAUGAGCAUGUAUGUGGGUGACUAUGCUGCCCUGGCCGUCACUGGCUGACUAUGCUGCCCUGGCCAUCACUCUCUCCUCAAUGCAGAGACCCUGGAGGGAGGGAGGAUCUGUGUCCAGGGUUACCCCUGUGGCAAGGUGUGCUGCCCUUCAGGGAAGACGAGACAUUGUGGAACAAAAGGCUGAGUGAGGUUUUCCAUUGCUCACAUUACAAAUGAGAAAACUGAGGUUCAGGGAAGUUGAAGCUUUCAAAGGUCACCACGAAGCAGCUCAGUGGGUAGAAGGAGAGAAGUGACUCCCGAAAGCUGUCCUCUGAUUGCCACACACUUCCAACCUGUCCUCUGACAGACAGACAGAUACACACACACACUCACCCCACAUAAAGUAAUUAAUCAGUUAAUUAAUUAAUUAUUUGUAAAAGGAGAGGAAGAGAGAAAGGAAGAAAACUAGGCUUGCCAGUACAUGUCUGUCUUGUAAGCCCAGCUCUUGGGAGGCAGAGGCAGGAGGAUCAGGAGUUCAAGGCCAUCCUGAGCUGCACAGUGAAUCUGAAGCCACCUGACAUUUGAAACUAUGUUUCAGGCUGGGCGUGGUGGCACAUGCCUUUAAUCCCAGCAUUUGGGAGGCAGAGGCAGAGGCAGUGGAAUUUCUGAGUUCAAGGCCAGCCUGGUCUACAGAGUGAGUUCCAGGACAGCCAGGACUACACAGAGAAACCCUGUCUCAAAAGAGAGAGAGAGAGAGAGAGAGAGAGAGAGAGAGAGAGAGAGAGAAGAAAAAAAGAAGGAAGGAAAGAAAGAAAACAGAAAGAAAGAAAAGAAAAAAAACCCAUGUCUCAAAAAAAUAUUUUUUCUUCUGUUUUUAAGAAAAAAAGAAAGCAGGCUUAGAGUGAGUUAGGGGAAAGUUCAUUUGACUCUUGGGAAGACAAGGCCUCAUAGGAAGGACUUUCAUAGAGGAAUGAUGUGGGCUGCCCUCCUGUAUGAAUCACUCCUGACUCUGUGUUGAUCAUGGACUCUGGUGAGCAAGGGUCGAGUGACACCAGGUAGGACACCAGGCAGUCACACAGUCAAGAGCAGUGGAGUGACUGGGAGAUUAGAAACAACGCAUGUGUCAGGAAGGUAGAGGAGUCCUGAGGCGGAGUGCUUUGGGUGGGGGCAGCAGGCUCGGCUGCUGGAUGGGAUAGCCUAUGGUACGUGAGUAUCUGGAGCCCUGGCAGGAGGAAGUUGCUGUCUUCAGAGCUGGGGUGGCCCCAGAGAAGUACCAUGAAUAAGUGGGGUACAGCUGGGACCUUAGCUUUGUGUGUGAUGUUCCUCUACGCAUCCUGGGACUUUGCACUGAUAAUUGAGUUGGAGGAUAGGGCGUGACUUCAGGUGUUAAUGUUACUGGGAGUCCUGAGUAGACAGGAAUGUUAGGGAAGAGAAUAAUAGUGUAAGGGCCAAGCCCUGGUAUCCUCCAGCUAGAAGAGAGAGGCAAGCAGAGGAGGAGCCCGCAGAAGAGACCCGUGAAUGACAGGAGGCACUGCUGAGGGCCCUGAGGGUGAUAACUGCAAAGACCAGGAGUCAGAGCUCCAAAGACCAGGAAUCAAUGUGCCGUCAGCCCUCCACAUCAGAGGCUCCGAACCAAUGGCUGGAUGGAUUGAUAGGGGGAUCCCUCAAGACAUGGGCAAGAUAUAAAUAGGAUUUGUUGUUUGGGUUUUUUUUUUCUUCCUUCCUUUUUCCAUUCUUUGCGUGUGUGUGUGUUCGUCUGUCUGCCUCUCUCUCUGUAUGUGUGUAUGUAUACACAUUUACAUAUGUGCAGGCACAAGUAUGUGGGGUGUCCAUGAGCGUAGGUGUGUGUAUGUGCAUGUGAGACCCCGAGGCUGGCAUUGGGAUUCACCCUCAAGGGCUUUUCCACCUUCGUCAAUGAGGCAGGGCCUCUCAAUCAAACCCAGAGCUCACCAGUGCAGCCAGUCUAGCUACCCAGAUUACUCGGGAGGUCUCUUGUCUCUGCCUUCCAAGGCUGAACUUCAGGUGGGCCAACAAGUCCAUGCAGCCUUUAGGUGGAUUCUUGGGAUCUGAACUCUGGACCCCAUAUUUAGGUAGCAGGUGCUUAAUCACCAAGUUGUAUCACAGCCUAUGGGCUGUGGUGGUGCUGUUUUGUUUUGUUUUGUUUUGUUUUUUGAGACAGGGUCUUCUUAUUUAGCCCAGGCUGGCCUGGAACUAAAGGUCCUUCUGUGUCAGAGUCUCAUGUCCUGGGAUUACAGGAACAUUCCACCACACCAGGAUUUGAAAGCAGCUUUAAUGCUGCCUCCCUAACCCACUAGACAUGAAAUCAAGAAUCACUCAGACUUGGGGGUCAGGGAAAGGCAGAGUCAGCACAGCAAGGUGAAUGGCUGCUGGCCAGUGAGCUAUCUGAUCUGUAGACCCCAUUGGUGGACGCCCUGGCCUCCACCAUGAACUUCUUGCAGAAGUGGCUUCUAGUCCCCGCUUUCCGGAUCCCAUGCUAAUCCAACCGUGAUGGACAGGCCUUGUGGGCGAGCUGCCAGACACAAAGACCCAUCAGUUCCUUCAAAAUAACCUGCUAGGGGAAUUAAGGACGGUCCUGCGGAUAAAAGUACUUGGCUCAUAAAUGUAAGGACCCGAGUUCAAACCCCAGAACCCAUGAGAAAGCAAGGCAGGUAGCCAAGUGUCUGUCAUCCCCGAGCUCCUAUGGGGAGGUGGGAAACAGAUACAGGAAAAUUCCAAAAGCUUGGGGACUGUGUGUAGCCUGGCAUGGUGGCCAACAAAAGCCUUAUCUCAAACAAGAUGGUAGGCUAUGGCUGAUACUUAAGGUUGUCCUCUGGUUUAACUGAGAUGGCCCAGAUUCACAUACAAGAAUGUACACACAUGAGCCGGGCUUGGUGGCGCACGCCUUUAAUCCCAGCACUGGGGAGGCAGAGGCAGGAGGAUUUCUGAGUUCGAGGCCAGCCUGGUCUACAGAGUGAGUUCCAGGACAGCCAGGGCUACACAGAAAAACCCUGUCUCGAAAAAUCAAAAAAAAAAAAAAAAAAAAAAAGAAUGUACACACACAAACACACACACACACACAUAGACAUAUAUGAAGUUUUAUAAAAAUAAUAAUCUGCUAGGGCUGAGAACAUAGCUUAGUUGGUAGAAUGCUUGCCUAGCAUGCACAAAGUCUUGGGUUCAAUCCUAAGCAAUGCAGAAACAGGACGUGGUGGGGGUGCAGAAGUCGCUCAGUGGUUAGAGCACUGGCUGUGCUUACAGAGAACCUGGGUUUGGUUCCCGGCACCCACACGGUGGCUCAUAACAAUCUGUAACUCCAGUCCCAGGGAGGGGUCUGAUGCCCUCUGCUGACGUCUACGAGCAUUGCACAAAUAUGCUACGCAUAUCUAACACACAAGCAAAAUACACACAAAAUAAGGUAAAAUAAAAUAAUAAGGCGGAUGUGGUGGCCCACACCUACAAUCUGAAAACUCAGCCGGUAGAGGCUGGAAGACCAGAGCUUCAAGGUCAUCCAUCUGAUACAUAGGGAAUUCAAGGACAGCCUGAGCUAAAUGUGACCCUGUCUCAAAAUCACAACAACAAAAACAAUUUUUUUUUAAGGAAAAGAAACGAAUUCUUAGCUCCUUCCUUUAUGUUAGAUUUCACUGUCUUGGACUGUAAUCAAGGUGCACUGAGGUUUUGUUGUUGUUGUUGUUGUUUUGUUUUCCUUCUGACUGUGUCUUUGAUGAAGUCUUUUUCCAAAUAAGCUUCCCAAAUUACUUGAAGAAAAUAGCUUGCCGGGCAGUAGUGGCACACGCCUUUAAUCCCAGCACUUGGGAGGCAGAGGCAGGCGGAUUUCUGAGUUCGAGGCCAGCCUGGUUUACAGAGUGAGUUCCAGGACAGCCAGGGCUACAGAGAGAAACCCUGUCUCAAAAAACAAAAACAAAAACAAAAACAAAAAAGAAAAGAGAAUAGCUCUUUCUUUCUUUCUUGUUUUGUUUUUUGUUUUUAGAGACAAGACAAAGCCUUUCUAUGGCUCACAGCAAAGUGAUCCUCCUGCCUGAGCCUCCCACCAUGCCACCAAACAGCACGGGAACUCCCGGGAGCGCACGGAGAGGUCAAAGGACAACUUAUAAGACUUGGUCCUCUCCUUCCAGCAUGUGGAAGCUAGAGAACAAACUCUGCUCAUUGGCUUUACAGCAAGCUCCUCUACCCACUGAGCCAUCCCGUCAGCCCAAAUGUAGGGACUGCGUAGACGCUUCAGAGGGGACAAACUCGAUACAGACUAUCAGACACGGAAUAGCCUUGACAAUACGCUUAUUGAUGAAACAACUUUCCAUCUAUCUACUGAUUGAUAACCAUUUCUGUCUUAGAACAAGGUGCUUCGUGGUACUUGAUCAGAGACAGGUUGAUCUGACUCAGGAGCCACACAGCAGCUUUAGGAGCUGGCAAACUGGCAGCUGAAGGUUGCUGGAGCCCGGGUGUUCAGCAGUCAGUGCCGGGAGCACACAGAAAACCGCUUCUUCUGUGUUCUGGCUGGUUGCGGUUUUUAAUCCAGUGCUGAUCUGUUUACCAAAUGAGAUGGCCUUGUUACUCACAGGCGAGGCCUAGAGAAUUGUGCUUGCUGUUGGCCAAGGCUCUCCAUGGGUUCUGGAGGCUCCCUGGAGCACCCACCUCCAUGCCACAUGUACACAGGCACACACACACAUACGCACACAAGUACAUAUACUGGCUUGUGCCACAGUCCAGUUUCGGGCAGUGUCCCUGGGGUCCUCAGGGAAGAGGCAGGCUGCUUGGGCUCUUGAACUCAGGGCCCCAGCAGGGAUCAGCUGUAGCCAUAGGAUGCCUGAUUUCCUGUCACCUACCAUAGAAUUAGUGCUUCUAGGUCAGGGGACUGUGUGGACUCUCAGGGAAUGCCAGGAUGGGAAGAGAUGAUGCAAAGAUGGCUUUGUUACUCUUUCCCUUCUGAUGCUAGAAAAAGAAUACAGGGUUUCCUGGUGCUGGACAAUAUGGUAUAGCUAAGGCCCCCUUUUUUCUUCUGUUUCAAUCGUUGUGUAUGUGAGCGUGUGUGCAUAUGUAUGUCUGUCUCUCUGUGUGUGUCUAUCUGUGUGUGUCUAUCUCUCUGUGUGUGUGUCAGUGUGUGUACACUAUAGGACAAGUUUUGAGGUCAGAUGACAACCUCAGGUCCUCAACUUCCACCUUGCUUGAAAAAGGGUCUCUUGUUUUUGCUAUUGGCUUAAAUCUUGCAGGGGGUUCUCCUAUCUCUGCAACACAGGAAUUACAGAUGUAUGCAACUGUGCUGGCUUUCCAUGGGCUCUGGGGGCUCUCACUGAAGCCCUCAUGCCUGCAUACAAGGGCCUUUCUCCGCUGAGACAUCUCCUCAGACCCCUUUCCCUCCUGAGAUGAACUUGCUGUAAAAUCAACAGUUACACCAUGCGAGGAUGGUCACAAAACCAAAUGCCUUAGCUCAGUUUUGUGUUGCUGUAGUAAAAUACCACGCCCAAGGCUACCUAUAGCAAGAGGGGUUUAUGGCUCCAGGGGGAUAGCAGUCUAUUACUGUCACAGCAGCUGGGAGAGGGGCAGCAGGCAGGCGUGGCAACAGGAACAGCCAAGCCCUCAUGUCUCAAAUAGCAAGCAGGAAGCAGGAAAAAAAUGUAUACAGUGACAUUAUAAAGAAAAAAAAAAAGGGGGCCUCCGAAGAUGGAAAAGUGGGCAAGAAUUGGGCUUUUGUUUUUAGUUUUCUGGUUGGUGGAAUCUAUUGGUAUACAGUGUAUCUAUCUCGUGUUAGCUGCCCACAUCAAGGCCUUUGGUGAUUCUCAGAGAAAAGCAGGAUACAGGGAAGCCAGCAGGGAUGGAGCACCCAGAUUGGAAUGUUCCCAUGGGUCUGUCCCUAUGGACAGAGAAUGAGGGUCCUUCAAGCUAGUGACAUAGCCGGUGCUCCCCAGAGGCUCAGAUGAACAGGUGGUACACGGGAGUGUCUGCUGUGGGCUGGUACUUAACUGCAGUCCUUAGGACACACACGUAGGCAGAGCACGUAUGUUCAUUCAUUUUUCUUCCCACUGUGACAAGGACCAAGUUUCACUUUUCUGGUCGUCACCAGUAAAUUAGAGAGGACCAGGGUUUAUCUCAAAAGGAUUCUUUGAAAGUCUCCAGAGGGGUUUAAUAUGAUACCUCGUGUUUGUUACAAGAGACUGCAUGGGUCAAAGGGGUGUGUGAGUGUGUGUGUGUGUGUGUGUGUGUGUGUGUGUGUGUGUGUGUGUGCCCGUGCCCAAGGUCACACAGGGAGUCAGAAGGGGACCCCACUUUGACUGUCCACAAAACCUUGCCCUAGCUGUAUGUGGCAGCACACCUCUUUAAACUCAUUUCUUAGGAGGCAGAGGCAGAGGCAGAGGCAGAGGCAGAGGCAGAGGCAGAGGCAGAGGCAGAGGCAGAGGCAGAGGCAGAGGCAGAGGCAGAGGCAGAGGCAGAGGCAGAGGCAGAGGCAGAGGCAGAGGCAGAGGCAGAGGCAGAGGCAGAGGCAGAGGCAGAGGCAGAGGCAGAGGCAGAGGAGGCAGAGGCAGAGGCAGGCAGCUCUCUAUGUGUUUUUUGUCAAUCUGGUCUACAUAGUGAGUUCCAGGCCAGCCAGGGCUCCAUAGUGAAACCCUAUCUUAAGAAACAAACACCUUAGCCUGACAGUGGUGGUGCACGCCUUUAAUCCUAGCACUUGGGAGGCAGAGACAGGUGGAUUUCUGAGUUCAAAGCCAGCCUGGUCUACAGCAUGAGUUCCAGGACAGCCAGGGCUAUACAGAGAAAUCCUGUCUCGAAAAAAAAAAAAAAAAAGAAAGAAAGAAAGAAAGAAAAGAAAAGAAAAGAAAAGAAAAGAAAAGAAAAGAAAAGAAAAGGAAGGAAGAAAGAAAGACCUUACUGAGGGCAGCCUCCAGAGCCCACCAGCCUCCUUUUACAGAGACCCUGAAGCUCUUCAAAGAUUGGGCUCUUGCAGUGAGAGUGAUGGUGUGGAAUUCCUACCCACCUUGCAAUGGCUGGGCCUGCCUGGUAGAGCUGUUCAUCUGUGCCUGCCAUGGGCUCACUCUAGGUCUCUUGAGACCUCCCAGAUACUACAAGUCUGGGGAAAGAGAAUGCACAGGCUCAUGCCCAGACAUUUCCUUCUGCAAAACGGGGAGGUGAGGCCACUGCCCAAGGGUCCUUGCAUGCUGGGCCAGUGUUUGCCUCUCUCUUCCUCAGAAGAACUCCCUUUCCCUUCCGUGUUGGAGGAAUCGAGUCUCUCCCUCUUGAUGCAGAGAAUUUUGCUCUGGUGACCCAGGACCGCUUCAGUCUCACGGCUGUGCUUGGCGCUCACUCUCACGGGGACCCUGCUGAAGUGUGAAUUCCAAGCGCGUGGAGGACUGGAGAUGACGUGCACGGGUGUGAGUUUGCAGCUGAUGAAGGGAUUUCUGACAUAUAACUAACCACCCAGGACGGAGACAUAGAGCCUGUGUCACAAUGGAGCCGAGGGCAGUUUGUCUCUGGAGCAUCCUGGCUGAGCCGGAGAUCCAUACUAGCAGGGGACAUAAUCAUAGGUGGAGUCCCCUUUCCCACAGGGCAAGGUGGUCUUCAGGGCUGUGCACACCGAGCCUCUCUACUAACCCACAAGGGGGUCCUGUGCCGGCUGCCCUGGAUAGAGAAGAAAGCGUGAGAAAUGGGAGGCGCGUGCCUGGCUCGCUGCCCAGGCUCCUCCCUGCAGCUCUCUGCUCGGUACUUCAGUCUAAGUUUGUACAAAAGCCCUGCCCCACUCGAGGUCUCUUGCCCUGCGCUCCCGGCUCAAGAGCGCCAUGCGCCCAGCAAGUCUCCCUCACUCCUGGGACCGGCUCACCGAGUUUUAAGACCUACGGAGCUGGGUCGACACAAAAUCCCGCAGCGCCACAACUUGGAGACACGGUGACAGAGAUGUGGCCAUACCGACCAUUUAAAGCGAUUCCAACUCCGGCGAAGCCUGGCUGGAAAGACGCGGCUUCCAUCCCGGCAGCCUGGAGGAGGAUCGAGCAGGGGCUGUGCCUGGGCUUGCCUGGACUUGUUCAGAGAAGGGCUGCUCCCCUCGGUAACUGCACAGAUUGGGGGCUUUGGGAGACGUUGCCAGAACCUGGAAGCCACGGCCGGGGGCUACUGGGGCCCGGGGUCUGCGCACCUGCUCGCCGUGGAGCCCAGGAGUGUGUCCAGACAAUUAACCACUGAUGGACGAAAGCAAGAGAAAUGCAUUUUCUUGCAGUUCUGGAAGCCAACGUCUGCAACACAGCAGACUCCACCCAUCUGUAGUCUCUGUGAAGGGAUCUUGCCUCAGCUUCCGAAGACUGCCUGGGUUCGUAGACGCAUCCCUCCUAGCGUAUGCUGUGUGCCUGCCUUACAUCUGUCUCCAUCUGCCUGUCCGCCAGGAUGCUUGUUACUGCGUAGGCUCCGCUGGUCUUUUAAGAUUCACCUGCACAGGCCCUGGGAUUUUUGGGGGUGAUUCUUUGUGUUGUUGUUGCUAGUGGGUUUAUCUACCUUUUAGUUUAUAUAUAUAUGGGUGUUUUACCUGUAGGUAUGGCUGUGUACCACGUGUGUGAAGUCCCCAUGGAAGCCAGAAGAGGGUGUCAUAUCUCCCAGGACUAAAGUUACAGAUGGUUGUGAGCUGCCAUGUGUGUGGGUGCUGGGAAUCAAACCCAGGCCCUCUGCUCUUGCAGCCUCGGGCUUAACUGUGCUCCAUCUCUUUAGCCUCCUAUACUAUAUCAUCUGGAUAUGACAUUUUUAUACCCAUACCAUUGCACUUCUUGAUUUAUCAUUGGUGUUAGGAGGAAUAAAAACCCCUUCCUAAUGACCGAGCACACAGAGAGCUGUCCCAUGGGUCAGCCUCCUGGCUCUGACCCUGUCUCUGAGUGCCUGGGCAGGUGGACAACUGUGAGAACAUCUGUGUAUUUACCCAGACUAGUUAUGGAUAACUGAGCAGAGAAGGGAGAGCCGACCUCCCUUGGUGCCUCCCUGAAGCAGCCAGCAGCAUUGGAAAGCGUGAGAUCUGAAACUGGGGUAGGAGGGCAGAUGUUGGGUUUGGAACAUGACAGCAAGCCUGACCCUUGACAACAAGGGUAGCUCAGGAACGCCAUCUUCCUGUGCGGUGAGAGCAGACUGGGUGUGCGGAGGCGCCGAGCUCACAAGGGCCUGGAGGGCAGAGUGUGGUAGCUGCGGUGCGGCGAGCAGAGGCUUUAUUCAGGUCUCAUAAGCCCUUUCUGUGUGCUGGUAGCUGGGUAUUGACGCCAUUGGGACGUCAUGGCUAAUUUCAUUUCGGAAUUCAUGCCUGCCAGCUUGGGGGACUGCAGCCUCUCUGAUUUGCCUGCACCUCAAAAGGGAACUUCAGAGUUCAACUGCCAGGGCUUGGUGGAGAUCUGGGCCUUCCCCAGUCAGAUCUCCUCCUGCUGGAAGUUCUUGAUUUGAGGGUCAGGCAGUGGUGGCAACCACUUGGUGGUGAGGACGUAGAGAUGUGAGUGAGUAGCUAGUCCCCGCUCUCUUGGGUCUCCUUCUGUGGAGUAUAGGCUUAUUCUCCUGCAGUUAGGCCUGAGCUUAGCUAGAGAUGAGUGCCUCUCUGCUCUAGGCACUGCCUCUCAUCCCUUUUGUCCAUUGGUGCCCUCAGUUCCAUUUAGGGGCCGUUUUCUGGGACCCGAUGACCGGGAUCAACGAUGCAUGUUUUCUCAGCCAAACACCUGUGGGGAGUUUCCUAAGCAGGUGGAGCCCUAUUUAUUCCCAGGAUGGGGGAACAGCUACCCAAUAGCCUUCUCUUGUUAUUCUAUUUUAUUUUAAUGUGUGUAGCUGUGGGUGUUUUGCCUACACGUAUGUCUGUGCGCCCAUCAGCAUGCAGAGUCCACGGAGUCCAGAGAAGGCAUCAGAUCCACCGCAUCUAGAGUUACAGACAGUUGUGAGUCACCAGCUGAAUGCUGGAAGUCAAACCCAGGUUCUCUGGGAGAGCUUCCAGUGCCCUUAACCACUGAGCCAUCUCUCCAGCCUCUCCUCAUCGGUUGUCUUUGCCACCCUCUGAUGCCUUGUUAUAGAAUUAUAACAUAAUUAUAAUAUAA